rnacentral:rRNA from 1 species
ACUGAACGCUGGAGGCGUGCUUAACACAUGCAAGUCGCGCGAGAAAGGGACUUCGGUCCUGAGUAGAGCGGCGCACGGGUGAGUAACGCGUGGGUGAUCUCCCUUGGUGAUCGGGAUAACAGCGGGAAACUGCUGCUAAUACCGGAUAAUCUUCAUGUUUAACUUCAUGGGGUAAAGGUGGCCUCUGCUUGCACGCUACCACAUCAAGAUGAGCCCGCGUCUCAUUAGCUAGUUGGUGGGGUAAUGGCCCACCAAGGCGACGAUGAGUAGCUGGUCUGAGAGGAUGACCAGCCAGACUGGGACUGGAACACGGCCCAGACUCCUACGGGAGGCAGCAGUGGGGAAUAUUGCGCAAUGGGCGAAAGCCUGACGCAGCGACGCCUCGUGAGGGAUGAAGGUCUUCGGAUCGUAAACCUCUGUCAAGAGGGAAGAAACCCUUGAGUUCGAACAGGGCUCUUGGCUGACGGUACCUCAAAAGGAAGCACCGGCUAACUCCGUGCCAGCCGCCGCGGUAAUAC